UUAUCAAAUAUAUCUUGGAAUUCACUGAAGAUGAAGCAAUAAAAAAGGAUAAAACAAAGUCAGACCUUCAUUGAAUUGUUAGAAAUUGUGGUGCAGAAUCAAAGUGAAGUUUUCUAACUGAACUAAAAACUCUCAACAAAUGGCAAGCUGCGAUGAACCAAUGAAACAAGUGUUUCCUUAAGUAUGAAUGCCGAAGAAAUAAUACAUGUAUAUGACACACACAGGAAAGAAACACUUUCCAUAUUGAAUCAGGAUCAAUCCUUGUUGACCAUGAGGAUAUCUCUCAAGUCUGAGCUAUGUCGGAUCCUCCUUGAGUGACAGUUCCAUAGAAACUCCCGUGCACCUUUGGCCAUAUAAAUGAGAUAGAUUAAUAACACAAACCUGAAAAAAACAAUGAAUCUCCCUUGAGAGCAGAGAAACAGGAAGCACGAGAGGCAAAAUGAGAGGGAGAGGGCUCACCGAGAGGAUUUUCUUAUCGUCACAUCAGCGACAUCCGCUCGAGCCACAUGUCACAAGAAUCGCCCCAACCAUAGACAAAUAAAGCCGAGUCUCCAUGUAGAGAAACAACUAAUGUGAACGUGAGACUGUAAAACAAUUAGGAUGAGUAGCGUGCUAAUUGAUUGUCAACAUAAAUAAUACUUGUAACCAGUGGCAAAUGGCAGUAUACUAUCAGGAAGUGAAGUACAUUGACAUUUUGUAAGCUAUACUAAGGUUAUAGGAUAAGCACACAUUAAAAAAGUAGCAAGAUUAUGGAUUUCUUGAAUAUCAACAAAGUAAUUGGAAUUCCAAAUAUAUGAAGUAUUAGUUAUUACAUAGAUUAGAAAUAGACACGACAACCAUGUAAAAUUUGCCGAUUAAUUAAAGAGAUUCAAGAUGAUUUGGUGCCUUGAAAGAAACCUACACAUCUUAAUUAGCAAACCAGUGACAAUAUUGAAUCGAUGCUGAAGUGUACUCUUCUUUGCUAAGUAUGGAAUUAAUCAAAUAUGGCAGGGAAACAAUCAGAACAGCAAUGGGCGACUCUCGUCGACCAACAUAGGCAACAACUAAGCAAAAAUUGUACUGCAUAAUUGUUGAUAAAGGGCCUGCCGGUAGAGUGUCAGGAGAUGCUGCUCCAAGCAUAUGAUUUCUAGCUCUAGUACUGUAAUCUCCUUUAUGAGCUUCUCAGUAAGCUGAC
rnacentral:lncRNA from 1 species